CCGCCGCCUCUCAACAGCAGCAACGGCAGCAACCCUGCGGCACCCCGCGCCCGGGCAGCCGCGCUCCCGCCGCCAUGAUGGGCUGCGUCAUGUGACGUAGAGCGGGGGCGGGAGGCCGUGACGGACAGCCCAGCUAGCCAAUGGCCAGCUCCACAGGCCACAGGCGGCCCCGCCCAUUAACCUGUCAGAGAAUGUGUGUCUGAGGGUGCGCCCCCUGCAGACCGAGAAGUGCGUGGGCAGCAGUGCCCUCCUGCCCCGUCCUGGCCACCUGGCACACUCCCUCUCAUCUGUCAGCACUCACCUGAAGGAUGGCGUCAUCAAAGAAGGCCGCUCCCCAUCCCAGGAGGAAUGACUAAUGUCUCCUAACGCCCCGCCCCAGCCCUGGACAGACUGCUCCACCAGGUGCCAUAUUUUAUUGUUCCCGUGACUGUAAGCUCCCUGAGGACAAGAGCUGUGCCCCUGUCAGCCGGGGUCCCCCGGGGGCUGGCUCAGAGCAGGGGUUCUCUAAAGGAAGGGUGCCUGUCCUAUUCCUGGGAGCAGCUCCCAGGUCCACCCUCUCCCCACCCCAGGACAAGGCCCAGCCAACAGAGGGAAAGGGCAGAGAAAGCAUUUUCCAGGCCCAAGUAACAUAAUCAUGGGAGGCCUAGAGGCUGGGCAAAGGUUGGGCUUUUCUGGAAAAUGCACUGUAGUCCAGUUUGUGCCUGAGAGGAACUGAUCUGAAUCUUAUCAGAUGGGCUCUCCCAACCGGCAGCCGGGAGCCUCCCCAGUUCUCCAAACUCCUCAAACGCCCAUCCUCAAUGCCCCCUCUCUGUGGUGCUGACCCGGCGCUGGACAAACAAUAUGUGCCCAAGAAUAUCUGUCAAAUGAUCAAGGUGAGCCAGUAAACACCUAAGGAAACAAACACUGGCUGGCAUGUGAAAUGCUGUUGCAGCGUCCAUGGCUAUCUGCUGAUCUCCAUGUAGGAACCGGAAGGAAGGCAAAGGUCUAGGAGAGAGACACAGUCACCCUGUGGUGCUUCGACAUCCAUCAGGAAGGCAGACAUGGAGUCCCAGGAAGCGGGGAACACUCCCGCUGAGGACCGGGAGGAGCCGCUGAGCUUGCCUGCAGUCCAUCCUAAUGAAAGUGCACCCCAACGCCACGCGCCAGGCCAGGAUCGCAGAGGAGGUUGCAUGAUCAUCUGAGCAAGCCCAAAGGUUCUUUGAGAAAACUUUUUUUUUUCCACUUCACAGCACAGGGGUUGAGGUGCACAUUCCUCAGAGGCUAACGGCAACCUUUACCCACCCCCCCACCCCCGUCACUCACACCUUUGCCCAGGGCUUCUCUUGAAGGCUCCCGGAAUUUAUAAAACAAAUGAAAACCUG